ensembl:lncRNA
GACCGACCGGAACGCGGCGAGCUCCGAGCUCCCGACGGCCAGGCCCGAGCUGCGCCGGACUGGGCCGGGGUGGGCUCGCAGGGACGAGGUUCGGGGACGGGACCCAGUUCCGUGGCGGGCUGCUUUCCUUCCUCAGAGGCCGCGAGGUCAUGGCGGCGGCUCGAGUUCCCUGCUUCCAGUGUGGGUUGGUCAGUUCCUCCACAGCGCUUUUAAACGCCGUGAGACGGUCCCACUCUGCCAGCUGCUCUGUGGCAAGCUGCCCAGCGUUUCACCCGUGUGUUCCCUGCCGCCCGCGCUCGGCGCGGCCUCGACUCAGCCUCCCCGAGGAGGUCCCCUCGGACCGUCGUGGCCCUGGCGUUUGCCAUGCGAGGACAUCGCGUUGCGCUCCUGAGCCGAAACCUGUGCGCGCUCGGCGGCUGAGGCCUUUGGUGCCGCAGGAGGCAGAAACCGGAGCCCCGUGCCCGGCCCCGCAGGGACCGGAAAGGCGAGCAGCCUGCGCUGCCCUCUCCGCCCGCUCGGAACCAGGGUCCCUAGGGUUCGGUCGCUCAGGUUCUGCCCUGAACCAGGCACAGGUCCAUCGGAUCAUUUCCACUUACGAAGUAAACGAUUUGGUUUUUUAAAACUUCAUUUUAAACAUUAGGUAUUUUAAAUCAUCACAAAAUGAAGUUGGAAGACUAAGUUACUGGAGUCAACUUAGAUAACUUGAUACAUUACAUAUUAUCAAUGACAUUUUAAAAACAAAACUGAUUUUUGACUUCGGAAAACCAAGUAAUAAUUGUCAUUUCUAGUUAGAGACUGAAGCAAAUUGUGAAAAAUCAUGUAAAUACCUAGGCUACUUUCUCAAACUACUGUUGUUUUUCUCUUUUUUAAAGACUGCUAAAAAUCGUGAGAUUUGGAAGUAGAAGAUGUUCAGGUUAUGUUUUCAGAAAGAUGCUUGUCAAUCACAGUCAACAAGCUGUGGGUUUCCUGAAUGGAAGUAAAAGCCGCGCAGAGUUAAAAGUCGUCCCAUGUCUUGGGACUGUGCUUCUGGUGGCAGUGCCUCCCCUCUGUGGAUGAAACAUGCCGCGUUGGAUGCAUUCCCGUGAAGCAGGCAUUGUCUCUGCUCCCCGGAGGAUCCUAGCUCUCUGAAAGAGCUCUUUCAGGAAACACCUAGGUUCAACUUCAUGCAGCAGGAGCUCCAGUUGGAUUCACUUGGUACUUCAGUAUGCUGGAAACGAGAAAGCUUCAUUUAUAAUGUAAAGGUACCUAAGAGCCAUCUGACACUUCUAUUCAUGUCAGUAAGAAUGGUUUCUGUCCACACGGGCGUAGAGUCUGCCCGACAGGAUACACUGAUGAUGUCCAUUUCAACAUUAGCAUACGUGGACAUUUGCAGCACUUCCUGUUUUCUUAAUUUUUAACUUUCAAUUUUAAACUUUUAUUAACAAAAGGGGAACUGUACUGGAACGGAUGGAGCCAAAUGUACCACUGUGUGCAGCUUUGGUAAAGGAAUUUAAAGGAGGUAAAAUAUGUGCGCUUCAUUGUCUCGGUGGCAGAAAGAAGUGAGUCAGGACCUGGUACAAGGAUGUUGCAAGCCCUUCAUUUACUGACUUCUUGCCUCUGUCAGCUGCGGCUCAAAGCACUUCCUGUGUUGACUGAUUUGGCCUGGUGACAGUGGUGUGGGGCAGGUGCUGUGCAGCUGAGAAAAUAGGAGGUUAAGCACUUCCCCAAACUCACCAAGACAGCCUGUUCUCCACACCCCACACCAUCUAGCACCAGACUUCCCAGGGCAGGCAUGAAACAUGUGGGGACCUGCUCAGUGCACCCCAGACCUGCAGAGCCUGAACCUCUGAGCCAGCCCAGCCUGAGUUUUACUAAAGCCACUCAGACUAGAGUUUGAGAAUCCCUGGCAAAAAGGAAGGUGGUGGCAAUGUUAACGAUCUCUUUUCAUGGAUUUUCAUUCUAGAACAAAUGCUGGGAAGUUGCUCUAACAUACAGUAUGUGUGUUCCCAAAGGUGAAGGCUCCAGAUGUGGCGGCCAAGCUGAAGAGACCAUCAGAGAGGCUGAAGGAGAAGCAGGAUGAACAGCAGAAUUACCAGGUUCUGACUCUGACGGUGGCCAGUCUGUGUCUCUUCUUCAUGGUGCUUGCCACACACCUUGCAGAUUUCCUGACCUCCAGACAGCCCUCUCUUUCCCUUGCCUGGACCCUGUGUUUUUUCUGGAAGCAUCAUCUCCAGCAGAAUCUCCCAGGGCAAUGCUUCCCACCCAUCACCAGGCACAUGCAGGACAGGGAGGACAUUUUUAUGCCUCUGUGUAUCCAUCAUCAAAUGAUUCCUUGAUUAUGAAACUGUCCUAUGUGCUCCUAAAAUGCAGGCUGUGGUGAGCCGUUCCCCCAUGGCCUGGGUACCCAGCUCCCAGAGGCUGGAUCGGCUCAAGGCAUCGGAGCCUGCCCUGCCUCUCCCUUGGGUGCCUCCCUCUGUGACUUUGACCCUGGGAUGCUCCUGGGCUCUGCAGGGUACAUAAGCCUGCCUUUCAAGGACUCAGACCAUUCCCUUCAGGGAGCAAGGGAAGGGUUGCUGCCAUCUCUGUGCUGUUUGUAAUGAGCACCCAGUGCAAUCCAAUCUGUUUAAAACAUGUGGAGAUGGUUACAUAAAAUGUUUGAGAUGAAUACUUAAAGUCAGGUUCAUAUAAUUACUCUUCAUUUAUAUCUCUUCAUUUCACUUGCACAAGACCCUCCUGACUGGCAGCAUGAGACCCACGUGGAACACAGCAGAGUGCGGAGUUACGCUGUUCACAGCACGGGUACCAUGCAGACCCUGUGUGCAAGGCUAGUUCCCAGCCAGGCGCUGCUGGGAGGUGGUGGCACCUUUGAGGGUGAGGCCGAGCAGGACAUUAGGUCAUGAAGGACACAUCCUUGAAGGGAGCUCUCAGACCACAGUCUCCUCAUCCUCUUUUUCACAUCCGGCCCUGAGGUGAGAGGCUUUGGUGGACCACACACUCCCACUUCGGUGCGCUGCCUCAGCCUAGGAAACUGCAGGGCAGACAACCACACCUGAAUCUCCAACAUGUGAGUCAGAAGAAACUACUUCUGCAGGGGAAGGGGGAGUUGGGGUGCAGGGCAAAGGAGAGAAGGGGAUGGAAUUCAUAUGAGAAAAUGGAACAGUGGAAACAAAGUCUGUAAACAGGGAGGGGUGGAGGGGUGGAGGGAGGGCAGGGGAAGGGAAAAUAAGAACCGAGAGAGUAUGUAAAGGUGCAGAUCUCCAAUGAUGAGUGUCAUUAUACUGUACACCUAAAAUGUACCAAUAAAAUUAAUUUAAAAAGAAGAAGA